rnacentral:rRNA from 1 species
AUUGAACGCUGGCGGGAUGCCUUACACAUGCAAGUCGAACGGAGUGGCGGACGGGUGAGUAAUGUCUCGGAACGUGCCCAGUAGCGGGGGAUAACUACGGGAAAGCGUCGCUAAUACCGCAUACUAUUGGAGCGGCCGAUGUCGGAUUAGCUAGUUGGUGGGGUAACGGCCCACCAAGGCGACGAUCCAUAGCUGGUUUGAGAGGAUGACCAGCCACACUGGGACUGAGACACGGUCCAGACUCCUACGGGAGGCAGCAGUGGGGAAUAUUGGACAAUGGGGGAAAGCCUGAUCCAGCCAUCCCGCGUGUGAGAUGAAGGUCUUCGGAUUGUAAAGCACUUUUGGCAGGGAAGCGGUACCUGCAGAAUAAGCACCGGCUAACUACGUGCCAGCAGCCGCGGUAAUUC